rnacentral:rRNA from 1 species
AGAGUUUGAUCCUGGCUCAGAACGAACGCUGGCGGCAUGCCUAACACAUGCAAGUCGAACGGUAAUAGGUCUUCGGAUGCUGACGAGUGGCGCACGGGUGAGUAACGCGUGGAUAUCUGCCUAUUAGUGGGGGACAACUUGUGGAAACGCAAGCUAAUACCGCAUAAUCUCUACGGAGCAAAGCAGGGGACCCUUCGGGGCCUUGUGCUGAUAGAUGAGUCCGCGUCAGAUUAGCUAGUUGGUGGGGUAAGAGCCUACCAAGGCGAUGAUCUGUAGCUGGUUUGAGAGGAUGAUCAGUCACACUGGAACUGAGACACGGUCCAGACUCCUACGGGAGGCAGCAGUGGGGAAUUUUGCACAAUGGGCGCAAGCCUGAUGCAGCGAUGCCGCGUGUGGGAAGAAGGCCUUUGGGUUGUAAACCACUUUCAAUUGGGAAGAAGAGAUGAGAGUUAAUAGCUCUCUGAUUUGACGGUACCUUUAGAAGAAGCACCGGCUAAUUUCGUGCCAGCAGCCGCGGUAAUACGAAAGGUGCAAGCGUUGUUCGGAUUUACUGGGCGUAAAGAGAUCGUAGGUGGUUUGUUAAGUUGGAUGUGAAAUCCCGGGGCUCAACCUCGGAACUGCAUCCAAAACUGACAGACUUGAGUUCGGGAGGGGUAAGCGGAAUUCCGUGUGUAGCAGUGAAAUGCGUAGAUAUACGGAGGAACACCUGAGGCGAAGGCGGCUUACUGCACCGAUACUGACACUGAGGAUCGAAAGCGUGGGUAGCAAACAGGAUUAGAUACCCUGGUAGUCCACGCCCUAAACGAUGUCAACUAGCCGUUGCGGGUAUUGACCCCUGCAGUGGCGCAGCUAACGCGAUAAGUUGACCGCCUGGGGAGUACGGUCGCAAGAUU